AACUUUGUUCCUCCCUUCAUACUGAAUACAUCUUUCGCCUUUUAUUAAAGAUUUCCAUGGAGGGGGGGGGACACUGAUGAGCCUGUAAUGAAAUUAUUAUUAUUAACCGUGGUCAUUUAAA